UAAGUAAGCUUUGAUCCAGAGAUUUCCGAAUGGGGAAACCCAGCAUGAGUUAUGUCAUGUUAUCGAUAUGUGAAUACAUAGCAUAUCAGAAGGCACACCCGGAGAACUGAAACAUCUUAGUACCCGGAGGAAGAGAAAGAAAAUUCGAUUCCCUUAGUAGCGGCGAGCGAAACGGGAAGAGCCCAAACCAACAAGCUUGCUUGUUGGGGUUGUAGGACACUCUAUACGGAGUUACAAAGGACGACAUUAGACGAAUCAUCUGGAAAGAUGAAUCAAAGAAGGUAAUAAUCCUGUAGUCGAAAAUGUUGUCUCUCUUGAGUGGAUCCUGAGUACGACGGAGCACGUGAAAUUCCGUCGGAAUCUGGGAGGACCAUCUCCUAAGGCUAAAUACUCUCUAGUGACCGAUAGUGAACCAGUACCGUGAGGGAAAGGUGAAAAGCACCCCGGAAGGGGAGUGAAAUAGAACCUGAAACCGUG
rnacentral:rRNA from 1 species